GACGAACGCUGGCGGCGUGCUUAACACAUGCAAGUCGAACGGAAAGGCCCUGCUUUUGUGGGGUGCUCGAGUGGCGAACGGGUGAGUAACACGUGAGUAACCUGCCCUUGACUUUGGGAUAACUUCAGGAAACUGGGGCCAAUACCGGAUAGGAGCUCCUGCUGCAUGGUGGGGGUUGGAAAGUUUCGGCGGUUGGGGAUGGACUCGCGGCUUAUCAGCUUGUUGGUGGGGUAGUGGCUUACCAAGGCUUUGACGGGUAGCCGGCCUGAGAGGGUGACCGGCCACAUUGGGACUGAGAUACGGCCCAGACUCCUACGGGAGGCAGCAGUGGGGAAUAUUGCACAAUGGGCGGAAGCCUGAUGCAGCAACGCCGCGUGCGGGAUGACGGCCUUCGGGUUGUAAACCGCUUUCGCCUGUGACGAAGCGUGAGUGACGGUAAUGGGUAAAGAAGCACCGGCUAACUACGUGCCAGCAGCCGCGGUGAUACGUAGGGUGCGAGCGUUGUCCGGAUUUAUUGGGCGUAAAGGGCUCGUAGGUGGUUGAUCGCGUCGGAAGUGUAAUCUUGGGGCUUAACCCUGAGCGUGCUUUCGAUACGGGUUGACUUGAGGAAGGUAGGGGAGAAUGGAAUUCCUGGUGGAGCGGUGGAAUGCGCAGAUAUCAGGAGGAACACCAGUGGCGAAGGCGGUUCUCUGGGCCUUUCCUGACGUUGAGGAGCGAAAGCGUGGGGAGCGAACAGGCUUAGAUACCCUGGUAGUCCACGCUGUAAACGGUGGGUACUAGGUGUGGGGUCCAUUCCACGGGUUCCGUGCCGUAGCUAACGCUUUAAGUACCCCGCCUGGGGAGUACGGCCGCAAGGCUAAAACUCAAAGGAAUUGACGGGGCCCCGCACAAGCGGCGGAGCAUGCGGAUUAAUUCGAUGCAACGCGUAGAACCUUACCUGGGUUUGACAUGGAUCGGGAGUGCUCAGAGAUGGGUGUGCCUCUUUUGGGGUCGGUUCACAGGUGGUGCAUGGCUGUCGUCAGCUCGUGUCGUGAGAUGUUGGGUUAAGUCCCGCAACGAGCGCAACCCUUGUUCACUGUUGCCAGCACGUUAUGGUGGGGACUCAGUGGAGACCGCCGGGGUCAACUCGGAGGAAGGUGGGGAUGACGUCAAGUCAUCAUGCCCCUUAUGUCCAGGGCUUCACGCAUGCUACAAUGGCUGGUACAGAGAGUGGCGAGCCUGUGAGGGUGAGCGAAUCUCGGAAAGCCGGUCUCAGUUCGGAUUGGGGUCUGCAACUCGACCUCAUGAAGUCGGAGUCGCUAGUAAUCGCAGAUCAGCAACGCUGCGGUGAAUACGUUCCCGGGGCU
rnacentral:rRNA from 1 species